UGUUUGGAGACUCGGAAUCAAAAUUUUCAAACGAUUGUAUAAAGAGAAUUAAUGUAAUGAAGAAUAAAAUUACUUCGAUAAUUUAUUAUUCGAAAUGGAAUAGCUAUAGUGCCAAAGAUUAUAUGAAAAUCAGUUAUAACAGCGAACUACGUUUGAGGAAGCUGGUAGAGGGAUUGCAAGUGGAACGAGAUUAACUGUGGAAAACGAGGGAUGUUCGAGAGGAUCAACGUCGACUAGAACUUCAGUUGCACCAUGCAGGCGGAAACGACACCCCACGUAAAGCGGAAGUUUGUCAACAAUCUUCCACCCCUGCCACUCCUAGACAAUAUAGCUAGGAAUAGGCGGUAAUCUCGAAAUCACGAGCAACGGGAAACGAGAUUACGUGCCCCCUUUAAAACUACCCAACGCAGGGGAAAAGUUCGUAACUAACCGAGAGACGACACGGCUUAAAAGUUUACACCCCCGCUACCGGAAAAUUCGGAGACUGGAAUCCCUCGUUCGCCGGCUUUUUGAAAAGAUCGUUAUUAUAAGCUUUGGCUGGCUGAAAGAUUCUCCAUCUUUUUUUCUCUUCUAAUAUACGAAAUUUUAUCACUUUGAGAACUUUUAAAACUCUCCAGAUUAAUGAUCUUUCUUAAAUAUUUGAAGACGUUCGGUGGUUCUUGUUGUUCUUCGUUUUCAAUCUUGUUGAAUAUCACUCGUUCGAUGCAAAUUGUUAAACGUUAAUACUUGAGAAACGUCGUCACUUUUUUGUAACGAAGGAAGAAAGAACCGUAGGAAAGGUCGCGAUGCCUGCUGGCUGGAAAACUCGCGAACUGCUACUGGUGAAUGGUAUCGUUGAGCGAAUGGUCACCAUUGGGCCACCCUUCCCCGUAGAAAGAGGAGUAGCCAUGAACGUGAUGGAUUCCACAGUUCGAAGGGGCCCGCGUUCCUUGUCCGCGGUGUUGCGAACUUCAAGGCGUUUUUCAAAGAAUGGUAAAAUAUUUUUAAAAAGAAAACUAUUUUGUUCAAUUCAAUAAAAAAUUCUUAGAAACUUGA